UGAGGCUGGAGAACCUUUUUGUAGCAGAAAUGGAAGGUGGAGAAAUGGUUGGGGGUUACAGUGCCCUCCACUGCCCUCUGAGUAGCCACGCCUUUCCCCACUUCGCGGGGCUCCGAUGUCCCUGAACUACUAUUUAACAGGAAAACAUUAUUGCUAACAGGUUUUAUAUUUUUUUAAACAGAGGGCUGGCAUGCCAGCACAUGCUUGAAUGCUCUCACAGUUACAUAUAAACUUUAAAAAGAGGCCCCCUUUUCCCCGAGCCUGACUCAUACUCCAUGCAUCAUAUAACCAGGCUUUGGAAAAGCUCUGAAAAAUGCACAUGGCAAUUGGAUCUAUUUUGCCCGAUCGUGGGAGUGAUAAAAACAGGCUUUUUAUCUGAGAUAUCGGAAUGUUAACAACAACAACAACAAAACCAAAGGUAGUGAUCAUUCUAAAAUGCAAAACAAUGAACACACUCAAGUUGAUUUUGGAUUUGACCAUACACAUUUCUCAGAAGAGGGAGCUUUCCUGUGAGUUACCCAUGAUAGAAGAACUGGCAGGUGCAGUGGCUGACGCCUGUAAUCCCAGCACUUCGGGAGGCUGAGGUGGGCAGAUCACAAGGUCAGGAGUUCGAGACCACACUGGCCAAUAUGGUAAAACCCUGUCUCUACUAAAAAUAUAAAAAUUUGUCUGGCGUGGUGGUGCAGGCCUGUAGUCCCAGCUACUUGGGGGGCUGAGGCAGAAGAAUCACUUGAACCCAGAGGUGGACGUUGCAGUGAGCCGAGAUUACACCACUGCACUCCGGCCUGGGCAACAGAGCAAGAUUCCAUCUCAAAAAAUAAAUAAAUAAAACAAAAUAUGUUUUUCCCUAUUGUCCUUUAUAUUGUAUGUCUAGGGAGAGAAUUGGCUAGCCCACAAAUAAAGGAGAAAGGAGGAGAAAAAUUCCUUAUUUGUGAUAUGUGAUAUAAAUCUUCUGAAAUUCAUGAUUUUGGGGCAGCACGAUUUAGAACAAAAAGAAAACCUGAUAUUAAAAAAAAUAUAUAGUGAUGCUUAAAUCUGUAACAGAUAUUGGGAAUACAGGUGAAAAUGAACUUUGUGUGCAGAAAGAGCACCUCAAAAGAUCUUACUCACAAGUCCAUGCACACUAUUUGACAUCCUGUGUCAUUUCGUAAAUCACUUUCAUGCUUGAGAAAUUCAGUAUAUACAUAAAUAAUAUUGAUGCG
rnacentral:lncRNA from 1 species